CAGGAUUAGAUACCCUGGUAGUCCACGCCGUAAACGAUGUCGACUUGGAGGUUGUGCCCUUGAGGCGUGGCUUCCGGAGCUAACGCGUUAAGUCGACCGCCUGGGGAGUACGGCCGCAAGGUUAAAACUCAAAUGAAUUGACGGGGGCCCGCACAAGCGGUGGAGCAUGUGGUUUAAUUCGAUGCAACGCGAAGAACCUUACCUGGUCUUGACAUCCACGGAAGUUUUCAGAGAUGAGAAUGUGCCUUCGGGAACCGUGAGACAGGUGCUGCAUGGCUGUCGUCAGCUCGUGUUGUGAAAUGUUGGGUUAAGUCCCGCAACGAGCGCAACCCUUAUCCUUUGUUGCCAGCGGUCCGGCCGGGAACUCAAAGGA
rnacentral:rRNA from 1 species